AGAACGAACGCUGGCGGCAUGCCUAAUACAUGCAAGUCGAACGAACACUUCGGUGUUAGUGGCGCACGGGUGCGUAACGCGUGGGAAUCUGCCCUUGGGUUCGGAAUAACAGUUGGAAACGACUGCUAAUACCGGAUGAUGACGAAAGUCCAAAGAUUUAUCGCCCAGGGAUGAGCCCGCGUAGGAUUAGCUAGUUGGUGAGGUAAAGGCUCACCAAGGCGACGAUCCUUAGCUGGUCUGAGAGGAUGAUCAGCCACACGUGGGACUGAGACCACGGCCCAGACUCCGUACGGGAGG
rnacentral:rRNA from 1 species